rnacentral:rRNA from 1 species
AUGGAGGAGGGGAUGCGGGUGGCGGUGGUGGGCGCCGGCGUGAGCGGCCUGGCGGCGGCGCACGAGCUGGCCCGGGCCGGCGGCGGGGCGGCGCGCGUGACGGUGUACGAGGCGGAGGAGAGCCUCGGCGGCCACGCCAGGACCGCCGACGUCGACGGCGUCCCCCUCGACCUCGGCUUCAUGGUCUUCAACCGGGUGACAUACCCAAACAUGCUGGAAUGGUUCGAAGAGCUUGGCGUGGAGAUGGAGAUAUCAGACAUGUCGCUGUCAGUGAGCACGCAGCUCUCAGGCGGCGGCAGGUGCGAGUGGGGCAGCCGGAACGGCCUCUCGGGCCUCCUGGCACAGAAGAGCAAUGCCCUCCGGCCCGCCUUCUGGCACAUGAUCCGCGAGAUACUCAAGUUCAAAGAGGAUGCCCUCAAGUACCUUGAGGACCAUGAGAGCAACCCUGACCUGAACCGGCACGAGACUCUGGGGCAGUUCAUCCAGACGCAUGGAUACUCCCAGCUCUUCCAGGAGGCUUACCUGAUCCCAAUCUGUGCGAGCAUAUGGUCAUGCCCGUCGCAGGGGGUGCUCGGCUUCUCCGCUUUCUUCGUCCUCUCCUUCUGCCGCAACCAUCACCUCCUUCAGAUCUUCGGUCGGCCCCAAUGGCUCACCGUCAAAGGCCGCUCGCAUACAUAUGUAAACAAGGUAAGGGAUGAGCUGGAAAACAUGGGUUGUCAGAUUAAGACCAGCUGCCAAGUCAAAUCAGUUUCAAGCUUUGAAGGAGGAUACAGAGUCUUGGAGGUCGGUGGCUCGGAGGAGGUGUAUGACAAGAUCAUAUUUGGUGCUCAUGCACCCGAUGUUCUGAGAAUGCUAGGGGAUGAAGCAACACACGAGGAGUUGAGAAUUCUGGGUGCUUUCCAAUAUGUCCACAGUGACAUAUACCUCCAUCGCGAUGACACUUUGAUGCCACAGAACCCGUCGGCGUGGAGCGCCUGGAACUUCUUGGGGACAACAAGCAGCGGCGUCUCUGUUACCUACUGGCUAAAUCUCCUCCAGAACAUCGAAUCCACCGGCAGGCCGUUCCUGGUGACGCUGAAUCCACCUCAUGUCCCGGAUCAUGUCGUGCUCAAAUGGAACACCGGCCAUCCUGUUCCGUCUGUCGCUGCUGCAAAGGCUUCGUUGGAGCUUCAGCAGAUCCAAGGAAACAGGGGAAUAUGGUUCUGUGGGGCAUAUCAAGGUUAUGGCUUCCAUGAAGAUGGCCUUAAGGCUGGGAAGUCUGCAGCUCAAUGUUUACUUGGGCAGAAGAGCAGCCUUCUUCUGAACCCGAAACAGAUGGUCCCGUCGUGGACGGAAACUGGGGCUCGCCUUCUGGUAACAAGGUUUCUCAACCAAUAUGUCACCAUCGGUAACAUGACCAUUCUUGAAGAAGGUGGCACUAUGUUCAGUUUUGGUGAAGUCGACAAAAAAUGUCUUGUCAAAACUGUCCUGCGAGUUCAUGACCCUCUCUUCUACUGGAAGGUCGCAACCGAAGCGGAUCUUGGUAUGGCAGAUGCAUAUAUUAAUGGUUAUUUUUCUUUUGUUGAUAAAAGAGAAGGGCUCCUGAAUCUUUUCCUGAUUCUCAUUGCUAACAGAGAUGCGCAGAAGAGUAGUAACAGUGCUGCCGGUAAAAGGGGUUGGUGGACGCCCAUGCUUUUAACAGCUGGGAUUGCAUCGGCAAAAUAUUUCCUCCGCCACAUCUCAAGGAAGAAUACUGUCACGCAAACUCGCCGAAACAUCUCUCAGCACUAUGAUCUGAGUAAUGAUUUCUUCUCGAUUUUCCUGGAUCCAUCGAUGACUUACUCGUGCGCAGUAUUCAAGGUGGAAGAUGAAAGCUUGGAAGUAGCCCAGCAACGCAAAGUUAACCUCCUAAUCAAGAAGGCUAAAGUGGAGCGGAAUCAUCAUGUUCUUGAAAUCGGUAGCGGUUGGGGCAGCUUGGCAAUGGAAGUGGUGAAGCAAACGGGAUGCAAGUACACAGGGAUUACACUGUCUGAGGAGCAACUUAAAUAUGCUCAAAUGAAAGUAAAGGAGGCUGGUUUGGAGGAUCGUAUAACUUUUCUGCUGUGUGACUACCGUCAAAUACCAAGCCGGUGUAAGUACGACAGGAUCAUAUCAUGCGAGAUGAUUGAAGGGGUUGGUCAUGAAUUCAUGGACGAUUUCUUUGGCUGUUGUGAGUCUCUAUUGGCUCCAGAUGGCCUAUUUGUCCUCCAGUUCAUAUCGAUUCCGGAAGAACGGUAUGAGGAAUACAGGAGAAGUUCAGACUUCAUAAAGGAAUACAUCUUUCCAGGGGGUUGCCUUCCUUCCUUGGCCCGGAUCACGUCAGCCAUGUCCGCCGCGUCCAGGCUCUGCAUCGAGCAGGUUGAGAACAUCGGGUACCAUUACUACCCGACGCUGAUACGCUGGAGGGAUAACUUCAUGGCCAACAAAGAUGCCAUUUUGGCUCUUGGAUUUGACGACAAGUUCAUCCGUGUAUGGGAGUAUUAUUUCAUAUACUGUGCUGCCGGUUUCAAGUCACGGACGCUUGGAACUUACCAGAUUGUGUUUUCUCGACCUGGCAACGACAAGCUGGCCUGCGUCGACAACCCCUACGCAAGCCUUCCGGCAGCCUAG